AUACGUAGGGUGCAAGCGUUAAUCGGAAUUACUGGGCGUAAAGCGUGCGCAGGCGGUUUUGUAAGACAGAGGUGAAAUCCCCGGGCUCAACCUGGGAACUGCCUUUGUGACUGCAAGGCUAGAGUACGGCAGAGGGGGAUGGAAUUCCGCGUGUAGCAGUGAAAUGCGUAGAUAUGCGGAGGAACACCGAUGGCGAAGGCAAUCCCCUGGGCCUGUACUGACGCUCAUGCACGAAAGCGUGGGGAGCAAACAGGAUUAGAUACCUUGGUAGUCCACGCCCUAAACGAUGUCAACUGGUUGUUGGGUCUUCAUUGACUCAGUAACGAAGCUAACGCGUGGAGUUGACCGCCUGGGGAGUACGGCCGCAAGGUUGAAACUUAAAUGAAUUGACGGGG
rnacentral:rRNA from 1 species